UACAGAGGUGGCAAGCGUUGUUCGGAAUUACUGGGCGUAAAGGGCGCGUAGGCGGUCCUGUCAGUCCCUUGUGAAAUCCCCCGGCUCAACUGGGGAACUGCAAGGGAUACAGCAGGGCUUGAAUCCGGGAGAGGGAUGCGGAAUUCCAGGUGUAGCGGUGAAAUGCGUAGAUAUCGGAAGGAACGCCGGUGGCGAAAGCGGCCUGCUGGACCUCUUCUGACGCUGAGGCGCGAAAGCCAGGGGAGCGAACGGG
rnacentral:rRNA from 1 species